CUUGACCGUGCCGAGCCACAGCGGCCGGCCGGCGGCACGGUUCCGCCCGUACGUCGCCUGGAGUGCCUGCGCCUC
rnacentral:antisense_RNA from 1 species